GAAAAUUGCACAUUCACUUCAGAGUGAUUGUGAUUUGAAAUGAGGCUGUUAAGCAGGGAGAUUGAGAGGUUAUGGGUUGCACCCGUAACGGACUAGCAGAACCGCAGCAGGAUUGAGAGCAGUCGGUUUUUGUGUGUCUGUUAAUGGUAAUUGAGAAAUCCAUACUUACACUGUAAGAGGAAGGAAGCACUGUUUACAUCCUUUAUUGCAGACUAUGGCAGUAGUUCAGUCAUCUUAAUGUGACUGAUGGACAACAAAGACCUCUCUGUUCACAUAAACUGCUUCUUACUAAACUAUGAAUCAGCAACCUUUUUGAUACGAUGUGCAAUUUAAAAACCCAACUGCUUACAGCAAAACUGCUCAACAUACGACUCUUUAGCCAUUUUUUGUGACCAGCAUUAUAGUGUCACGGCUUCAGACAGGCACUCAGUCUGUGCAUUAUUGUUUAGAAUUUUUCAGUCACUCUUUCUUCAGUUACACCAUUUACCAGUAGAUGGCGCAAGUAUUUAAUGGCUCAUUGAAUUAUUUGUUUCAUAAAAAAGUAACAUUUUAAAUAAAAAAAACUGAAAAAAAAAAAAUCACAUUUUUAUCAAAGACUUUGUCCAGAUAUGAUACAGAAUGAUGAUUAAAAUAUAGAUGGAGUAGAUCGAGUCCAUCAACACCCCCAAAGCUUCACAGUCCUUUACCUGUUCGUAGUUUUGACAUUUCAUUCAGUAACGUUAGGCAGUUCUGAUUUAUGUGCUGUUGAAUAUUUGAUGAUCACAUUAGCUUACUUGUACAUUAACCACUUCUAUCAGCUCCUUCUGGGAUGUGUUUAACUCCACUUUUUUACACAUACACAAACUUCCCUAAGCCUUUCCUCUUGAGGGAAUCCCCGCUGCCAUUUUGAAGUGUAUUCAACCUUGUCAAGUGGGUGAGGGAAGUUUAUUUAGACAGACCUUCGACCCCUCGAUUCUGACCAAUGGAGUGAGUCUACUCAAUAGUUUGGUGCAGGUAUGACAUCACUUUGUAGACCAAAAUGCGGAAGUGAGUUAGCAUUUUAGCACUUCCGGUUCCAUCGCCCCGAAGUCAAUGGGUUUUUUGGCUGAAAUAAGAUCUGUGGUGAACGCAAGCUCAAGACAGUUUUGCGUUUUAUUCUACGACAUAAAAUGCAUCAGUAUUACCCCACUUGUGAUUUUUUUUAAGCUGUUAUGUGUCUUGAAAUAGGCGGUUGCUAACAAGUGGCUAAAUGGGACUACACAGGCAGUCAGGGACAUUAAACGCCAUCACGGCGAAAAGGGAUUGGGUGACACUGUAGGCAUGAGCUCCAUGAAUGCAGUUGAGAAACACUGGCUUUUAUACUCUUGGAAAAACCUCAGAAGAAAGAAAGCAUGGAACAACAAAGUAAAAGUUCUGGAAAGUUUGGAAUGACAUAAAGGCCCUCUACAGUUUGUUUCUGGUUUAACACACACCCUUCCUCCAUCUUCAUCCAUCCAUCUCCUCUUCCCUCGCUUCCUCGCUGCUUGUGUCCAGAGAAAGGAACGUUCACCGACACAUCUCACACCCGUAGCGCUGCAGGCAGUUUCUCUCUCUCUCUCUCUCUCUCUGGGCAGAAAAGUCCUGCCUGUGUAAAGGAGGUUCCGUUGGGAGCGCAGGCUUUGGACGCAGGCCCAGAUCAAUGUGACCUAAAUUCAAAUGCGAAUUAGAAGGCUGUCAGUGGGAAAGGACACUCUGCAAAUGAGCUCAGACAGUACGGGGCCCCUCGGGGGCAAGCCGAACCUGGGCCUCGCCCCGCCUCGCCGUUUUAAUAAGUUCCAAAUGGGCGACCUGGCUGCAGCGUUUCUGAUCGGCUCGCCGCCCCUCCACCUCUAUCUCGGAGGCUGCUCGCCGCCUUCGCACCCAGAGCACGAGAGCGGUGGGGCCUCGGCAGGGUCCACUGACUACAGGCUUACCGACACACCUGGAGGAACCUGCCCAAGGUCACUGGAGAAAUUUCAGCGAGAGAGGAAAUACCAGAGCUUUCUAAUGGGAUUCUCUUCACACCUGGGCCUGACUCCUUAGGAUAGGAUUAAGGGCCACACAGCGGGGCCCCGUGAGGAAGGGCCAACACAGAGGGGUUGGCGUUAUUGGGAAGCAUUCACUCCCUGCCUCCAUUUCCUGUCCUGUCUAAUCGCUUCCAGGAGGCGUUUUACGCCGAGGUUGUCUUCGAAUGAAACGAAGGCCGUCUAAAAAAGAAAAAAUGCAUACCAAAACAAAACAAGGGAUGUUAUUCUUCAUUCAACACAAGCAGGGUUCCCGGGACGCGAGCUCUCUAGGAUGUUGCAGGAGUGAUGGGGCUUUCUCCAGCUCGCCUUUUAGCCGCUAGGAUCGAGUUUCCCGCCAAGGGUGGUGUGACAGCGCUUCUCCCCCAGCAGAGCUCACAACCACAUCCAGCGACACUUCGUUUCGGUGACCCGGUCACACUCUCCACACGCCCCUCUCGCUUCAGGGCCACACAAGGUCUGAUUGGCAACGGAAAUGAUAAUAUUUCUUCAGCUGAUACCGCGAGCGGUUUCAAAAUGAAGCGAUCGUGGUGAGAGAAUGAGGUGUGGUUUUGGGUAGAGGUGAUGACAGGAAAGAGGAACUAACUGAGAAGAAACGUUGCUGUGGUCACACGCAGUUAUAAGCCUUGUAAUUAAAGUGAGAUUUUCUCUUCUAUAACGACACAUAUAGUGGUACAAACUGAUUUGGUUUGAACCGUUAGUCUGACAGGUGAUUUUUGCCUUCACCUAGGCUGUGAAAGACAUGCAUCUUUAAAGCAGUAUUCAUCGAGAGCCAUCCGGUAACACUUGUCAUACUCAAUGACAGGUGAAGGAAAAGCAAGUAACAAGUGUUGUCUCACUUCAUAACCAAAUGCACAUCAACUGAAUCAAACGACGUCAAUUCCUCUUACGUUAGAUCACCGUAUGACCCAUCGUUGUCACCAUGAGAUCUUUCCCAUUCCUGCUCUUUGCUAGUAGCCCUAACAUACAUUUAAACGUAUCUCACGAUCAAAACCAAGAUUGGCUUUGACAAGAAUGAUGGAUCACUUCUCAAUAACGCACACCUGCAGAGGCCAUUUGCUUGUGCCACACUGUAACACAAUCGUCAAAUCCGGGAGGGAACCGCAACCAACAGCGGGAGAUACUCCUAAAUAAGUUCUCCUUCAGACGAGAGCGACCAUAGCGCAACACAUGGUUUUGAUGGGCCGAUGUGAUAUUUCCAGAGCUCCUUCAAUGAUCAUGGCUUCCCUGGCUAGAGGUGAACUUUUGCACGGGUGAUUUAUACACCUUGUGAACUGUGCAGAGUUUGUGGAAGGCUCCUAUGUCAUCGUAGCCUGAGGCCUCAGGCACUUCCUGUUUAAGAUGACUUACAGUUCUCUGUCAGUCCUCUGGGCCUGUUUUAUUGCUGCCCAGCCCCUCGCAGAAGCAACGGCAGGUCUGCACUGUCACUAUGACAUCAUAAGGACAAAGGAAGUGUGGUCAUUUCUUACUUGUCAGAGUAGCUGAUACACAGAUGGGCUGUACUUGAGGAGUGACAUCAUGGCAUUGAGUUCUCUGACUCACUCACAUACCUGGAAAGGAACUAUUUCUUAUAGAUAUUAAAGGGUUAGUUCACCCAAAAAUGAAAAUUCUGUCAUCAUUUAUUCACCCUCAUGUCGAU